AGAGUUUGAUCCUGGCUCAGGAUGAACGCUAGCUACAGGCUUAACACAUGCAAGUCGAGGGGCAGCACAGGUAGCAAUACCGGGUGGCGACCGGCGCACGGGUGAGUAACGCGUAUGCAACUUGCCUAUCAGAGGGGGAUAACCCGGCGAAAGUCGGACUAAUACCGCAUGAAGCAGGGAUCCCGCAUGGGAAUAUUUGCUAAAGAUUCAUCGCUGAUAGAUAGGCAUGCGUUCCAUUAGGCAGUUGGCGGGGUAACGGCCCACCAAACCGACGAUGGAUAGGGGUUCUGAGAGGAAGGUCCCCCACAUUGGUACUGAGACACGGACCAAACUCCUACGGGAGGCAGCAGUGAGGAAUAUUGGUCAAUGGCCGAGAGGCUGAACCAGCCAAGUCGCGUGAGGGAUGAAGGUUCUAUGGAUCGUAAACCUCUUUUAUAAGGGAAUAAAGUGCGGGACGUGUCCCGUUUUGUAUGUACCUUAUGAAUAAGGAUCGGCUAACUCCGUGCCAGCAGCCGCGGUAAUACGGAGGAUCCGAGCGUUAUCCGGAUUUAUUGGGUUUAAAGGGUGCGUAGGCGGCCUUUUAAGUCAGCGGUGAAAGUCUGUGGCUCAACCAUAGAAUUGCCGUUGAAACUGGGGGGCUUGAGUAUGUUUGAGGCAGGCGGAAUGCGUGGUGUAGCGGUGAAAUGCAUAGAUAUCACGCAGAACCCCGAUUGCGAAGGCAGCCUGCCAAGCCAUGACUGACGCUGAUGCACGAAAGCGUGGGGAUCAAACAGGAUUAGAUACCCUGGUAGUCCACGCAGUAAACGAUGAUCACUAGCUGUUUGCGAUACACUGUAAGCGGCACAGCGAAAGCGUUAAGUGAUCCACCUGGGGAGUACGCCGGCAACGGUGAAACUCAAAGGAAUUGACGGGGGCC
rnacentral:rRNA from 1 species